CAAGAGGUUAAUCUGUAGACAAUGUCGUCAGGCGGUCACGCUGCCAAGGCUACUGUUGUGUAGAAGGAGGAAUGUCAAGCCUUUCACUGAACACCAACGCAGGACGUGGAUCGAAGAGCCUUGAUUUGUAGAAAACCUGACAGCUCAGCAACAUCUAUCGCCGAAUAUAAGCGGUGGAAAGAACUCGAAAGCGUGGCAUUUACAUUUCACGUUAUUUCCAGAACAUUGAGGGACGAAAAGACACCGGUUGGAACCUCUAGCUGAUAGUUCUUUCAUACAAAAAUUAACGACGAACGUUACUUUAGAAUGAUUUCAAUUUGACAAACAUACAACACGGCAAUGGCGCGCUUCAAAUGUCGUCUGCCUUGCUCCUGCGCCAUCUUUGUUUUGUCUAUGAUGAUUCUGUUCGUGGUGUUGGUGAUAGUGAGCACGGGAGGUAUACAAGGGUUUCGGACUCCCCCUAGACAGACAUCGGUGUUGGACAAACUGACGAGGCUUGGUCAGUCUGUCGGACUUAAGUCGGACUCAGUCCGGAAGAUGGCGCAAUCAGCUUUCAAAUUUGUAGCUGGGAAUCUGGAAAAUACAUUAAACAUUACUAUACCCGUGAAUAAUAUAACAUCGUCCUUAAUGGAAUGAAAGUCGGAUGCGAUUUGUCGUGUUUUUCGUCCAUUUAUGUCAAUAUAUACAUACAGUAAAAUAUAUUUUGGCUCAA